CUUCAAGAAUAAAUGGGCAUUUAUGUAAAUAUUGGAGAUUGUUCCUUGCUUUGGAAAUGUAAACACAUGUUUGCCAUGCCAAUAAAGACCCUAAAAUUGAAAUGGAAUUGAAUUGAGAGACAGAACAUACAGUACAUACCAACCAACUGUCACAUGACCAGCUCUUAUGUCACAGCUGUGUUAACGUCUGAUUCGUUGUGUGUAGGGCCAAGGGGUUUUUCAGUUUUAUCAAGUAAUCCUGGCUAUAACAAACUUUACGAUAAUAUUAUACAAUAUUACACAAUCUCAAGUCAUUGCAUUGUAGCUUAAGUGUUUAAAUAAGGAGAGGGCUUGAUCUGAAUUGAAUUAAACAUUGAUAUAUUUGUUGUGUGAUUUGGUGAUGAACUGAUUGCUUUCCUGUGUGUCUCAUGUUCAUGUCAUUAACAAACACUACGGCUUGACAGUUGGCAUAUUGACAUUACAUGUAUGUCUGUUUUCUGUUUUGUAAUGGAAAUACUGUAAUUGGUUUUGAUACAGAAUCUAUCAUAGUGAAUCCUCAGUAUGUCUCUCUGUGAUUGAUUUGAGUUUUAGUUUAGUUUUGGUUGAGCUUUAGUUAACUGUUAGUCAAUUGUUAUUUAACAGAGUGUUAGAUGGUUUUUAUUUAAUCAUUAGUUGACCGUUAGUUGCCUGUUGCCUGUGGUGUCUCCCUGGUAGCUCCCGGUAGUGAUGCGUGUUCCACGGUUCUCUGCGUGGACACAGAACCUGUGUGGCAUGCAGUUCUCCAUCCUGGGCUAUGGGGACAUCAUCGUACCAGGUCUUCUUGUGGCCUAUUGCAGCAGGUUUGAUGUGUGGGUCAACAGCCCCAAGAAGAUCUACCUUUUCUGCUGCUGCAUAGCCUAUCUGUGUGGUAUGGUUUUGACGUUUGCGGUGAUGUUGGUGACUAAGAUGGGGCAGCCAGCCCUGCUCUACCUGGUUCCAUUCACCCUGCUAGGAUCUGCACUGUUGGCCUGGAGGAGAGGGAGAUGAGGCAGUUCUGGAACGGGACCACAUACGAGGUGUUGGACUCCACCAGGGAACCCUUACUGCCAGGUGUGCUUUCACCCCCUGACCUCUAACCCCUGAGGCCAAUGGAACACCUGACUCUGGCAGCGGAGGAAGAAAGUGCUGACUACAGCUGAUCUAUGAGCCAACUAACAAACCAAUCGCAGGGGCUCUUUUCUACUCUUCAAAUCAAGCAUCUAGUUUAUCAUCCAUGGGAUGCAAGGGAAAUACUAUAGCUCGUCUAUCAAUCAAUAAGGAUUUAUACUGGGGAGGGGUAAGGGUUGUACAGUGUGGGUCUCUGUUGAUUGGACAGUGAGACAGUUUAAUUUGAGAGGCUUACUAGUGGCUAAGAAUGCAGUGGCUAAAUAGUGGCUAUAAUAUUAAAAUGAUGCCUAAACUGUGUUGCCUUGGUAAACGAUGCAAGUGAUUUAUUGAGAAAGCACUUUAAUACUCAUGUUGGCAGGUAUUGGGGGAUUUUAAAUUCAAAGUUAGACUGUAGGUGAAGAUAUAAUUAUUAUUUUUUCUUCGAUAACAGCUGUUCUGGGGUGUUCUGUAUAACUUGUUUGUUUUAUUGAGAAACACAAUCUUUGAUUGCUUUUGUUGCCUUAAAUGAGUCCAAUCUGA